rnacentral:rRNA from 1 species
UUGGAGGGCAAGUCUGGUGCCAGCAGCCGCGGUAAUUCCAGCUCCAAUAGCGUAUAUUAAAGUUGUCGCAGUUAAAAAGCUCGUAGUUGAAUUUCGGGGUUAGUAGGCUGGUCAUGCCUCUGGUAUGUACUGGUCUCACUGAUUCCUCCUUCCUGAUGAAUCUUAAUGCCAUUAAUUUGGUGUUUUGGGGAAUUUGGACUGUUACUUUGAAAAAAUUAGAGUGUUUAAAGCAAGCUAACGCUUGAAUACAUUAGCAUGGAAUAAUGAAAUAGGACGUUCGAUCCUAUUUUGUUGGUUUCUAGGAUUGACGUAAUGAUUAAUAGGGAUAGUUGGGGGCAUUAGUAUUCAAUUGUCAGAGGUGAAAUUCUUGGAUUUAUUGAAGACUAACUACUGCGAAAGCAUUUGCCAAGGAUGUUUUCAUUAAUCAAGAACGAAAGUUAGGGGAUCGAAGACGAUCAGAUACCGUCGUAGUCUUAACCAUAAACUAUGCCGACUAGGGAUCGGGUGAUGUUAAUUUUUUAAUGACUCAUUCGGCGCCUUACGGGAAACCAAAGUGUUUGGGUUC